GAUGAACGCUGACAGAAUGCUUAACACAUGCAAGUCGAUGGGGAAGUGGUGCUUGCACCAUGGUAACCAUGGCGGACGGGUGAGUAACGCGUAAGGAACUUGCCUGCGGGACUGGGAUAACAGCAGGAAACUGCUGAUAAUACCGGAUAAGGUCAUUAAGCUGCAUAGCUUAGUGAUGAAAGGAGACGCCUGCGGAGAGCCUUGCGUCCUAUUAGCUAGUUGGUGGGGUAACGGCCCACCAAGGCGAAGAUAGGUAGCCGGCCUGAGAGGGUGGACGGCCACAAGGGGACUGAGAUACGGCACUGACUUCCACGGGAGGCAGCAGUGGGGAAUAGUGGACUAGGGGGGCAACUCUGAUCCAGCAAUUCUGUGUGCACGAAGACGGUUUUCGGAUUGUAAAGUGCUUUCAGCAGGGAAGAAGGAAGUGACGGUACCUGCAGAAGAAGCGACGGCUAAAUACGUG
rnacentral:rRNA from 1 species